rnacentral:rRNA from 1 species
CCUACGGGAGGCUGCAGUGGGGAAUAUUGGACAAUGGGGGCAACCCUGAUCCAGCCAUGCCGCGUGGGUGAAGAAUGCCCUCGGGUUGUAAAGCACUUUCAGUGAGGAAGAACGCCUGGUGGUUAAUACCCAUCAGGAAAGACAUCACUCACAGAAGAAUCACCGGCUAACUCCGUGCCAGCAGCCGCGGUAAUACGGAGGGUGCGAGCGUUAAUCGGAAUUACUGGGCGUAAAGCGCGCGUAGGUGGCUUGAUAAGCCGGUUGUGAAAGCCCCGGGCUCAACCUGGGAACGGCAUCCGGAACUGUCAAGCUAGAGUGCAGGAGAGGAAGGUAGAAUUCCCGGUGUAGCGGUGAAAUGCGUAGAGAUCGGGAGGAAUACCAGUGGCGAAGGCGGCCUUCUGGACUGACACUGACACUGAGGUGCGAAAGCGUGGGUAGCAAACAGGAUUAGAUACCCUUGUAGUC